GAUGAACGCUGGCGGUAUGCUUAACACAUGCAAGUCGAACGGACUCUUCGGAGUUAGUGGCGGACGGGUGAGUAACGCGUGAGAAUCUGGCUUUGGGUUCGGGACAACCACUGGAAACGGUGGCUAAUACCGGAUGUGCCGAGAGGUAAAAGAGAAAUUGCCUGAAGAUGAGCUCGCGUCUGAUUAGCUAGUUGGUGAGGUAAAGGCUCACCAAGGCAGCGAUCAGUAGCUGGUCUGAGGGGAUGACCAGCCACACUGGGACUGAGACACGGCCCAGACACCUCCGGCAGGCAGCAGUGGUGAAGUUUCCUGAAUGGGCGACGGCCUGACGGAGCAAUACCGCGUGAGGGAAGAAGACUCUUGGAGUGUAAACCUCUUUUCUUAGGGAAGAACAAAAUGACGGUACCUAAGGAAUCAGCAUCGGCUAACUCCGUG
rnacentral:rRNA from 1 species